rnacentral:lncRNA from 1 species
UGUUAUGGCCUGGAGGACAAGCUCACUGACCUCGCUCGCUGCCCGCCGAGAUGGGCGCCGGUGCCAGCCCAGAGGAAAUUGCAAAGAUGACCUUCUGCAGCAGCAGCUACCUGGCUUGCUGUCGGGACCUUUACACUGCCUUACGGCUUUGCCAGAACUCUGCCUGCACGCUUGGAAGUUAAGUACACACAUGAAUGCUUUUCCGGAACAGGACUUCCUGACACUGAACGUCAGGCAGCCGAGGAGGCUGACUUUGCCCUACUGAUAGCAGGGAUCCCAAACUGCAGGAGGCAGAGGAGGAGGGAGGUGGUUGUAGAUACCGCUACCAAUAAUGUUAUCAGCUGGUAUUUAGCAAAGAGAAUUUGGGAACCUGUUUUUCAUGAUAAACAUGACUCUUACUGAACACAAAAUACAUUACAAUAAUCACAGCACUCCAAUCUUAACUCUGAUUCCUUAGGUGUAAUGGUUUCUACAUGCUGAUACUUAAAUGUGCUCUUUCCAAUAUUUUUUGUGUUGAAGUGUUUUUAAUCAUUGCAGGAUAAUGUAAUAUAAUAGGAAGAUGCACAAUUUGUGAUGAAAGUAUUCAUGUGCUUUCAUGUGACAUUUGGCCAAUGCAUGUAUACAUGCCUUUUUUCUUCAAGAGGCUACACAUUUCUCUGUGAUCACUGAUACGUGGGGUCAGAGUUAAUGUUGUUGAGUUCUGAUGAAAUACAGUCACAAAUAUUACUGUUUCUGCAGAAUGUGGUCUAAUUGUGGCAGGAAUCUCAAGCGCUCACUACUAUUACUGUAACUUCAGCUUGCAGGAAUGGAACAAGUUAGUUCAGUUUCUUGCAGUCAGUAAACUCAAACUCGCCCCCACCCCCAAGAAACAGUUGUCUCAUCUUGUGUGUCCUCCUUUAAGUACUUUUCUUCUGGCGGUCUUCCUGACCCCCUMAGGCAGCAGCUCCUCGGGCACCCACUGGAGACCAAGGGAGGUGUUCUGGUUUGGGGGGCAGGGGGGUGGUUUGGGGGGCUCUUUUGCUUUAUAGUUUUCUCAAAACAGCCCUGUCUUUGGAGAAGCACAUCUCAAUCAACCGUCCUCCACUGCUGCUUAGCCUUGUAAGCUUGCAGUUCAAGCAUGGUUCAGCUGUCUCAGAUCUUGCAAGCAUAGGUAUGUUAUGAGCAAUACUGAAAGAUUUUUGUACUGGUAACCUUAUUCUGUCAGGUGUGAUUCCCACUACAGGUUACUUUGACCAGCUCUACACUGGUCACUUUUCUUCCAGUGCAUCCAAAAUAGCAGAGCCUCAUGGCGUUCAGCUGCUCUUUCCUAAGUGCAGUCCUACAGCUUGCUCUACAGGGCUCUGCAGCCUCGUAGGCAGAAAAAAUUGGCCUCACCUUCAAAAUGGGCAUAUGCUAAUAUAUCAUUCUUUCAUAAAUUGAUGAAUUAUAACAGAAGCUUCUAUUACUACUAACUUUAGUGCUCUCGGAGUUCUGUUUAAUCCAAAACCAUUUAGCCUACUACUGAUCACACAAACAGCUCCAGUGUAGCCCCUACAAUUCAAAUGCUGGAAAGCCAGAGCGCCUUUACAGUGUUCUCGAAAUACUAGUAAUUUAAUCUAGUUUAACGUUAACAGGGGCCAGAGCAGCAGAGYUGAGGUUUUUGUCCAACUGAGCCCACAGACAGGCUGAGGAGUUUGCUUUUUCUUGUGUAGGCCAUAAAUUUGUAUUUUCAUUCAGGGGAAAAGGGCAGUUGUUAAGAACUUAAGCUAUGCCCUAACCAGUGAUGCUGCAGGGAUGGAGGCAGCCUUCGUAACCUGUCUUCGCAGCCCAUGAGGGCUCUCGCUCACCCUGAGCUGCAGCUAGGGCUUUCUAGGACAGACCCUGAGGUGCUGCAACUCCCAGUCACAGUUCCUCCUCUUACUCCCUACCCCAUGUUGUCCAAGGUACUAAACCCCUUCCCAGGCAUAUAUGCAACUCUCGGCUCGCAUGAGGGCAGAGUAGAGCAAGAACGUAAACUUUUAUUUAUUCUCCUCUCUCAAGAAACCCAACAGACCAGCCAACCGUUCUACUUUUCUAAGACACACAGUUAGAUUCAGUUAGGUUAAAUAGAAAUACAAAAUGUGCUAAUGGAAAACUUUAAAUACACGGUAAAAAUAUGCCCUGGAGCUGACCCGUAUCUCACUUAAAUAAAUAGGCAGGAGUAGUCGCUACA